UUGUUUAGUGUAACUUUAGUUAGACGCCGCUGUUAGCUGGUCAUAUCUGUUCGUUUUCAAAUAUCAGAAAUAUUCUUGAAAGCCCGAGAUUCCAAUUCAGCCCUUCAGGGUGAAUGGCUUAGUAUAAACUGAGACCCACAGUUGGACUCACAUAUUAAGAAUACCUGAGUCGAAAAUCUUUUCGGCGGAUAAGCAGAGGUCUCAAAAAUAAAGAUCAGAGUGGGUUAGUGAAAGAGGAGUAAAUGCAGAAAAACCCUAUACAACAUAAUAAAUACUGCCUGUCAUCAAAAGUGGUUAAAGUCACAAAAUACUCUGAGAGAAAGAUGAUAAACGAGGACUUGGAAACUGCGAGCGCGCAAUAAUGCUAUGAAAUUACUACUUCUGUUAA